AUGCCAAUAUUUUACUCCCACUGGAGUCCGACAGGCCUAUGCAGCCUAUUAGGAAGUGAAACUUCUUUUCCGUGGCGCCUCGGAGGCGUUCAGAUGCUUCAGGGGAAGCUGAGUAUCUCCUGCCCAGCCACUGGCUGCCAGAAACUCACUGAAGUGGACGAGGAACGCGAACUUCCUACUUUGUAUGAGAAGCACAUGGCCACCCAAGCUGCUGCUGAGGUGAAGAAGGGAAGGGUUAUGUGCUCAGGAUCAGGGGUGGAAACAACAAGGUAGGUUUCCCCACGAAGCGGGAUGUCUUGACCCAGGGCCAGGUCUGCGGCUGAGUAAGGGGGUACCUGUUACUGACCAAGGAGGAUUGGAGAAAGGGAGAACAAGUCUGUUCGGGUUGCAUUGUGGAUGCCAAUCUGAGUGAUCUUGGUUAUUAUUUAAAAAAAGAGAGAGAGAGAGAGAGAGAGAAGAACAUCCCUGGACUGACUGACACCACAGUACCUGGGUGUCUGGGGCCCAAAAGAACUAGCAGAGUCUGCAAACUUUUCAAUCUGUCUAAAGAAGAUGACAUUCGCCAAUAAGUGGUGAGACAGCCCUUAAACAAAGAAGGUGAGAAACCGAGGGCCAAAGCACCCGAGAUUCAGCCUCUGUGACUCCACGUGUCCUGCCACAUAAACACUUGUGUAUCGCUCUGAAGAAACAACGUACUAAGGAAAGUAAGGAAGAGGCUGCCGAAUAUAAUAAACUUUUGGCCAAGAGAAUGAAGGAAGCCAAAGAAAAGCGCCAGGAACAGAUCGCCAAGAGACGCAGGCUGUCCUCUCUGAGAGCUUCCACUUCUAAGUCUGAAUCCACUCAAAAAUAAGAUUGUUUGAGUUACAAAUAAAUGAGAUC